rnacentral:rRNA from 1 species
UACGAGGGGGGCGAGCGUUGUUCGGAAUUAUUGGGCGUAAAGGGUGCGUAGGCGGUUUGGUAAGUCUUGUGGGAAAUCUACAGGCUCAACUUGUAGUCUGCACGAGAAACUGCCGGGCUUGAGUAUGGGAGAGGUGAGUGGAAUUCCUGGUGUAGCGGUGAAAUGCGUAGAUAUCAGGAGGAACACCUGUGGCGAAGGCGGCCAACUGGACGAGUACUGACGCUGAGACACGAAAGCGUGGGGAGCAAACAGG